ACAGAGGGGGCAAGCGUUGCUCGGAAUCACUGGGCGUAAAGGGCGCGUAGGCGGGAUGGCAAGUCAGUCGUGAAAUCUCUCGGCUCAACCGAGAAACGUCGGCUGAUACUGCCGUUCUUGAGGGAUGCAGAGGAGACUGGAAUUCCCGGUGUAGCGGUGAAAUGUGUAGAGAUCGGGAGGAACACCGGUGGCGAAGGCGGGUUGCUGGGCUGACACUGACGCUGAUGCGCGAAAGCUAGGGGAGCGAACGGGA
rnacentral:rRNA from 1 species